UGCUAGCGUGAAAGAGCUUCAUCAGUUACAUUACAUGGGUGUUGAUAGGAGUCUGUUUGUAGCAAGAAAAGUAGAUCCCUCUGUUACGAGAGGCGAGGUUCAGAGGGUGGUGCAGAGUUGCGACUGGUGUCAGUCAAUUGACCCCCACUGGUAAGACAUGAUCCUAGGGAGUUAAGGGUGCAGUCAGAUUGGGAGAGAUUGGCUAUUGAUGUGACACAUUGUAGAGGAGGAACGGACUAAUCGGUAGUGGAUUGUGGCCCUGGUCGGUUUGCCAUCUGGAGGGAAUUGACAGCUGAAAAUGCAGGUUACCAGGCAUUCCUGUUAUUAGUAGUACUACUAGAUACACUGGACAACAUCAAUUUAAACGUAUAAGCUACAUAUUCUUUUGAAAGGAGACAAAAGUUGGAAAGCUAAACAGUGGGAAGACAACAAAGGUUGAAGAAGAAGAAGAAGAAGAAGAAGAAGAAGAAGAAGAAGA